rnacentral:rRNA from 1 species
CCUACGGGCGGCAGCAGUGGGGAAUAUUGGACAAUGGGGGCAACCCUGAUCCAGCCAUGCCGCGUGUGUGAAGAAGGCCCUCGGGUUGUAAAGCACUUUCAGUGAGGAAGAACGCCUGGUGGUUAAUACCCAUCAGGAAAGACAUCACUCACAGAAGAAGCACCGGCUAACUCCGUGCCAGCAGCCGCGGUAAUACGGAGGGUGCGAGCGUUAAUCGGAAUUACUGGGCGUAAAGCGCGCAUAGGUGGCUUGAUAAGCCGGUUGUGAAAGCCCCGGGCUCAACCUGGGAACGGCAUCCGGAACUGUCAAGCUAGAGUGCAGGAGAGGAAGGUAGAAUUCCCGGUGUAGCGGUGAAAUGCGUAGAGAUCGGGAGGAAUACCAGUGGCGAAGGCGGCCUUCUGGACUGACACUGACACUGAAGUGCGAAAGCGUGGGUAGCAAACAGGAUUAGAUACCCGGGUAGUC